rnacentral:tRNA from 1 species
GGGUCCAUGGCGCAGUUGGUAGCGCGUCUCGUUCGCAAUGAGAAGGUCGGGAGUUCGAAUCUCCCUGGAUCCACCG